GAUCCUGACUCAGGAUGAACGCUAGCGGCAGGCUUAACACAUGCAAGUCGAGGGGUAGAGGAAGCUUGCUUCCUUGAGACCGGCGCACGGGUGCGUAACGCGUAUGCAACCUACCUUUUACAGAGGGAUAGCCCAGAGAAAUUUGGAUUAAUACCUCAUGGUAUAUAUCAUUCGCAUGUUUGAUAUAUUAAAGUUCCAACGGUAAAGAUCGGUGUGCGUCUGAUUAGCUAGUUGGUAGGGUAACGGCCUACCAAGGCGACGAUCAGUAGGGGAUGUGAGAGCAUGAUCCCCCACACGGGUACUGAGACACGGACCCGACUCCUACGGGAGGCAGCAGUGGGGAAUUUUGGACAAUGGGCGCAAGCCUGAUCCAGCAAUGCCGCGUGCAGGAAGAAGGCCUUCGGGUUGUAAACUGCUUUUGUACGGAACGAAACGGUCUGGGUUAAUACCCUGGGCUAAUGACGGUACCGUAAGAAUAAGCACCGGCUAACUACGUG
rnacentral:rRNA from 1 species